GGAGACUCAGGUGUCCCUUUGACAGUGUAUAAGCCAGCGAGCAACUGGACACUGUGAGGGAUGGCAGGAAAAGAACACAAGAAGAGCUUCUGGAGCAGAUGCUGGAAGUCCAUGUUAAUGAUGGAGGAGUGGAAAUUGGUGUUGCUGAUCUUGACGGCAACCCUGAGCCUUUGGGUCCUCUGCAUGCUCGUGCUGCCCUGUGCCACUGGCUUGUUGGCUGCAGUGUGUGUGAGCACCCUCAUGUCCUGUUGGCCCAAGUGCAAGUACAAGGGAACCUUUGCCAGGAAGUGGAGUUGGAAAAGCUGAGGAGGAAGAACCCAGUAGGUGAGCAACCCCAUCCCAGAGCUGCGCCGGCUCUGCAGGGGCUCCUAGCCCAGAGAUACCGUUGCACCAGGAGGCCCCGCAAAGGCUGCCAUUGCUCAUUCUCCCUCUGCCUCCUCCUUUCCCAGGAGCCUUCAUCGUGAGGGAUGGCACCAGGGGUCUAAGGAGAACCUGAAGGCUAAAACCCAUGCUGGGGAUGCUGCCCCUGCAAGGGGACACCAGUACAGGACAGGAUCCACGGAUGAAGGUGGAGAUCUUGGUGCAGAGCUCCUCAGGAACCAGCCUUCCAUUGCCAGAUCCCUGGUGGAGUCCCUGAACUUCACCCAAAUCUACCUUGACCUGCUGGAUGAGCUGCAGAAUAUUCUGGAUAGCG